AAAGGGAGAAGCAAGCACCGAAAAUCAAAACACUCAAUAAACAUUGAAAACCAAGCUGUUAACUUAUGACAGCCAAGUAAAAGAGUUACCAAACUCAAUGUUUAGUGAAUAAACCAAGUUUCCACUUACUGUAGUUACCUAAUAAAGUACAAGUGCCUAUAAAAAACAUUUUGCUACAGAAAUCUGGCAGGAGAGCCAGACCUCCAUUGCGGUAAGCACACCGCAAACAGACCUCCAUAGAGGCAUGUACAGCCGGGGGAGGAGCCACGAUCAAAGCGCCCCCUCCUCCACUCGGUCGGAC